GGGUUAUCUCCCCUUGUUUAUUGAUUAAAGCCAGGUUUAAGGUAUGAAAGAACCUCAGGGCUUCAUAAUCCUCGAUCGGUUGAAGAAGUCUUUAAGGAUUUCAGAUGAAGGCACACUGGGACAAUCAAGGUUCUCACCACUGAUGUUGAGAAAUUCUUUCAAUAAUGUGAUUCUCGUGAGUUCUGUUUCUUAUAUGGGAUUAGCGGGGUUUUUGUUUUAAAAAAGUAAUAGUGACUACAGUAUCAAUUUGGUUUAUGGAUGCUGUUAAAUUAUAUAUUUUGAGUAUUUGAGGGUUGCAAUUA